rnacentral:rRNA from 1 species
GUUAAUGAGGCGAACCGGGGGAACUGAAACAUCUAAGUACCCCGAGGAAAAGAAAUCAACCGAGAUUCCCCCAGUAGCGGCGAGCGAACGGGGAGCAGCCCAGAGCCUGAAUCAGUAUGUGUGUUAGUGGAAGCGUCUGGAAAGGCGCGCGAUACAGGGUGACAGCCCCGUACACAAAAAUGCACAUGCUGUGAGCUCGAUGAGUAGGGCGGGACACGUGGUAUCCUGUCUGAAUAUGGGGGGACCAUCCUCCAAGGCUAAAUACUCCUGACUGACCGAUAGUGAACCAGUACCGUGAGGGAAAGGCGAAAAGAACCCCGGCGAGGGGAGUGAAAAAGAACCUGAAACCGUGUACGUACAAGCAGUGGGAGCACGCUUAGGCGUGUGACUGCGUACCUUUUGUAUAAUGGGUCAGCGACUUAUAUUCUGUAGCAAGGUUAACCGAAUAGGGGAGCCGAAGGGAAACCGAGUCUUAACUGGGCGUUAAGUUGCAGGGUAUAGACCCGAAACCCGGUGAUCUAGCCAUGGGCAGGUUGAAGGUUGGGUAACACUAACUGGAGGACCGAACCGACUAAUGUUGAAAAAUUAGCGGAUGACUUGUGGCUGGGGGUGAAAGGCCAAUCAAACCGGGAGAUAGCUGGUUCUCCCCGAAAGCUAUUUAGGUAGCGCCUCGUGAAUUCAUCUCCGGGGGUAGAGCACUGUUUCGGCAAGGGGGUCAUCCCGACUUACCAACCCGAUGCAAACUGCGAAUACCGGAGAAUGUUAUCACGGGAGACACACGGCGGGUGCUAACGUCCGUCGUGAAGAGGGAAACAACCCAGACCGCCAGCUAAGGUCCCAAAGUCAUGGUUAAGUGGGAAACGAUGUGGGAAGGCCCAGACAGCCAGGAUGUUGGCUUAGAAGCAGCCAUCAUUUAAAGAAAGCGUAAUAGCUCACUGGUCGAGUCGGCCUGCGCGGAAGAUGUAACGGGGCUAAACCAUGCACCGAAGCUGCGGCAGCGACGCUGAUGCGUUGUUGGGUAGGGGAGCGUUCUGUAAGCCUGCGAAGGUGUGCUGUGAGGCAUGCUGGAGGUAUCAGAAGUGCGAAUGCUGACAUAAGUAACGAUAAAGCGGGUGAAAAGCCCGCUCGCCGGAAGACCAAGGGUUCCUGUCCAACGUUAAUCGGGGCAGGGUGAGUCGACCCCUAAGGCGAGGCCGAAAGGCGUAGUCGAUGGGAAACAGGUUAAUAUUCCUGUACUUGGUGUUACUGCGAAGGGGGGACGGAGAAGGCUAUGUUGGCCGGGCGACGGUUGUCCCGGUUUAAGCGUGUAGGCUGGUUUUCCAGGCAAAUCCGGAAAAUCAAGGCUGAGGCGUGAUGACGAGGCACUGCGGUGCUGAAGCAACAAAUGCCCUGCUUCCAGGAAAAGCCUCUAAGCAUCAGGUAACAUCAAAUCGUACCCCAAACCGACACAGGUGGUCAGGUAGAGAAUACCAA